CCCCGGUUUCCCCUAUGACAUCAUACAAACAUCACACAUAUCGCUGAAAAUAAUAUGGCUAAAUAGCCGAAGAUGUAAUAGAAAGUAAUUUUGUCUUCGUUCCCUGACACCAAACUCAAAUGAAAAGGAGGUUUCUUCUUGUUGAGUAGCUCAUACCAAUCAAUCGUACAUAUAUCAGAUAUCAUGUAUAACCACAAGAGGUAAAAAAGCGUAGAGACAUAUAUUACUGGCAUGCCUACAUAUAUUACUGGCAUGCCUUGAAGUUAUCGCUAAAGGUUAGAC
rnacentral:lncRNA from 1 species